rnacentral:rRNA from 1 species
GGACGAACGCUGGCGGCGUGCCUAACACAUGCAAGUCGAACGAGGUCCAUGAGAGCUUGCUCUCAGAAGACCUAGUGGCGAACGGGUGAGUAACACGUGAGAAACCUGCCUCGGAGUGGGGAAUAACUCGGGGAAACUCGAGCUAAUACCGCAUAUCUUCACAUGAUCGCAUGGUCGAGUGAAGAAAGAAUUUCGCUCUGAGAGGGUCUCGCGGCCUAUCAGCUUGUUGGUGGGGUAACGGCCCACCAAGGCAACGACGGGUAGCUGGUUUGAGAGAACGAUCAGCCACACUGGGACUGAGACACGGCCCAGACUCCUACGGGAGGCAGCAGUGGGGAAUCUUGCGCAAUGGGCGAAAGCCUGACGCAGCAACGCCGCGUGCGGGAUGACGGCCUUCGUGGUUGUAAACCGCUUUCAGCAGGGACGAAAAUGACGGUACCUGCAGAAGAAGCCCCGGCUAACUACGUG